rnacentral:rRNA from 1 species
AAGUUAUUUAGAUUUGGUAAAAGUUUAAGUUCAGAAUAAACUUGUGCCAGCAUUCGCGGUUAUACAAGUUGGACAGGUAAAAGUUUUUAGUUGAUAGUUAAUUUUUUUUUGUUGAAAUUAAUAAUUUAAUUUAUAGGUGAAAUUUUAAAUUUUUACUAAAUUUUUAUUAUUUGAAUGAAGCUAUGAAAUUUAUUUAAUUAAAACUAGGAUUAGAUACCCUACUAUGAAGGAUGUAAAUAUAAACUUGGGUAGUAAUAGAUAUGAUCUUGAAACCUAAAAAAUUUGGCGGUGCUUUAGUCUAUUUAGAGGAACCUGUUCCGUAAUCGAUAGUCCACGAUAAAUUUCACUUAAUUUUGUUUAGCUUAUAUACCGUUGUUAUCAGAAUAUUUUAUAAGAAUUUAAUGUUCUAAUAUUUAUAUAAAAAUAUAUUUCAGAUCAAGGUGUAGUUUAUAAUUAAGAGGAAAUGGGUUACAAUAAAUUUAUUUAAACGGAUAUGAAACUGAAAUGUUUUAUUGAAGGUGGAUUUAAUAGUAAAUUAAGAUAUAUUUUUUAUUUGAUUAAAGCUCUAAAGCAUGCACACAUCGCCCGUCGCUCUUUUUAAUUAAAGAUAAGUCGUAACAGAGUAGGUGUACUGGAAAGUGUAUCUAGAAUGCA